rnacentral:piRNA from 1 species
UAAAAACAAGAGUUUGCACACGAUGUAACCU